rnacentral:rRNA from 1 species
AUUGAACGCUGGCGGCAGGCUUAACACAUGCAAGUCGAACGGUAACAUAAAGAAGCUUGCUUCUUUGAUGACGAGUGGCGGACGGGUGAGUAAUGCUUGGGAAUCUAGCUUAUGGAGGGGGAUAACUACGGGAAACUGUAGCUAAUACCGCGUAGAAUCGGGAGAUGAAAGUGUGGGACCUUCGGGCCACAUGCCAUAGGAUGAGCCCAAGUGGGAUUAGGUAGUUGGUGAGGUAAAGGCUCACCAAGCCGACGAUCUCUAGCUGGUCUGAGAGGAUGACCAGCCACACUGGGACUGAGACACGGCCCAGACUCCUACGGGAGGCAGCAGUGGGGAAUAUUGCGCAAUGGGGGCAACCCUGACGCAGCCAUGCCGCGUGAAUGAAGAAGGCCUUCGGGUUGUAAAGUUCUUUCGGUAGCGAGGAAGGCAUUUAGUUUAAUAAACUGGAUGAUUGACGUUAACUACAGAAGAAGCACCGGCUAACUCCGUGCCAGCAGCCGCGGUAAUACGGAGGGUGCGAGCGUUAAUCGGAAUAACUGGGCGUAAAGGGCACGCAGGCGGUGACUUAAGUGAGGUGUGAAAGCCCCCGGCUUAACCUGGGAAUUGUAUUUCAUACUGGGUCGCUGGAGACUUUUGGGAGGGGUAGAAUUCCACGUGUAUCGGUGUA